UACGAAGGGUGCAAGCGUUACUCGGAAUUACUGGGCGUAAAGCGUGCGUAGGUGGUGAGUUAAGUCUGUCGUGAAAGCCCCGGGCUCAACCUGGGAAUGGCGAUGGAUACUGGCUCGCUAGAGUGCGGUAGAGGAGAGUGGAAUUCCCGGUGUAGCAGUGAAAUGCGUAGAGAUCGGGAGGAACAUCAGUGGCGAAGGCGAGUCUCUGGGAUGAUACUGACGCUGAUGCUCGAAAGCUAGGGGAGCAAACGGG
rnacentral:rRNA from 1 species